UACGUAGGUGGCGAGCGUUGUCCGGAUUUAUUGGGCGUAAAGAGCUCGUAGGCGGCUUGUUGCGUCGACCGUGAAAACCCGCGGCUUAACUGCGGGCUUGCGGUCGAUACGGGCGGGCUGGAGUUCGGUAGGGGAGACUGGAAUUCCUGGUGUAGCGGUGAAAUGCGCAGAUAUCAGGAGGAACACCGGUGGCGAAGGCGGGUCUCUGGGCCGAUACUGACGCUGAGGAGCGAAAGCGUGGGGAGCGAACAGG
rnacentral:rRNA from 1 species